GACGAACGCUGGCGGCGUGCUUAACACAUGCAAGUCGAACGGUGAACUCCGCUUGCGGGGGGAUCAGUGGCGCACGGGUGAGUAACACGUGGGCAACCUGCCCUCAGCUCUGGGAUAACUCCAAGAAAUUGGGGCUAAUACCGGAUAUGACCGCUGACCGCAUGGUCUGGUGGUGGAAAGAUUUAUCGGCUGGGGAUGGGCCCGCGGCCUAUCAGCUUGUUUGUGGGGUAGUGGCCUACCAAGGCGACGACGGGUAGCCGGCCUGAGAGGGUGACCGGCCAAACUGGGACUGAGACACGGCCCAGACUCCUACGGGAGGAAGCAGUGGGGAAUAUUGCGCAAUGGGCGAAAGCCUGACGCAGCGACGCCGCGUGGGGGAUGACGGCCUUCGGGUUGUAAACCUCUUUCAGCAGGGACGAAGCGAAAGUGACGGUACCUGCAGAAGAAGCACCGGCCAACUACGUG
rnacentral:rRNA from 1 species